UACGGGGGGGCAAGCGUUGUCCGGAAUUACUGGGCGUAAAGGGCUCGUAGGUGGCCAACUCAGUCGGACGUGAAAUCCCUCGGCUUAACCGGGGAACUGCGUCCGAUACUGGAUGGCUUGAGAUCGGGAGAGGGAUGCGGAAUUCCAGGUGUAGCGGUGAAAUGCGUAGAUAUCUGGAGGAACACCGGUGGCGAAGGCGGCAUCCUGGACCGACACUGACACUGAGGAGCGAAAGCCAGGGGAGCAAACGGG
rnacentral:rRNA from 1 species